AUGUCAGUCUACCUGUGUGCGAGGCUAAUGAGCACAUGUACUACUCUGUUCUCCCCGUGAAUGACUCUGUGUGCCAGAGAGGGAGAAGCUGUCGCCUGUUGAUCCACUGAUUAUUUCUCCUUGUUACAGAUUGAGUAAAAGAAAGUGCUGAAUCUCAUCAACGAGUGGUCGUGUGGUCUUUAUGUGUGUGAGGGUGGCCGGUCCAAACAUGCUACAAAUGCUCUUUAGGCAAAUCAUCAAAAACAACUUCACUUGUGACAAAAAAAGACAACAAUUAAUGACAGAAUGACACAAACACAAAUUUCCGUUAUGUUUUAUUUAGUUUUUAGCAGAGCCGUUGGCUCUGGUUUUUAGUAAACACAAAGGUGAUGUUGACAAU